rnacentral:rRNA from 1 species
AUUGAACGCUGGCGGCAUGCCUUACACAUGCAAGUCGAACGGUAACGCGGGGGCAACCCUGGCGACGAGUGGCGAACGGGUGAGUAAUACAUCGGAACGUACCCAGUAGUGGGGGAUAGCUCGGCGAAAGCCGGAUUAAUACCGCAUACGACCUAUGGGUGAAAGCGGGGGAUCGCAAGACCUCGCGCUAUUGGAGCGGCCGAUGUCGGAUUAGCUAGUUGGUGAGGUAAAGGCUCACCAAGGCUACGAUCCGUAGCUGGUCUGAGAGGACGACCAGCCACACUGGGACUGAGACACGGCCCAGACUCCUACGGGAGGCAGCAGUGGGGAAUUUUGGACAAUGGGCGAAAGCCUGAUCCAGCCAUGCCGCGUGUGUGAAG